GUGCCAGCCGCCGCGGUAAUACGGAGGGUGCAAGCGUUGUUCGGAAUUAUUGGGCGUAAAGGGCGUGUAGGCGGUUUGGUAAGUCAGAUGUGAAAGCCCUGGGCUUAACCCAGGAAGUGCAUUUGAAACUACCAUCCUCGAGUAUGGGAGAGGAGAGUGGAAUUCCCAGUGUAGAGGUGAAAUUCGUAGAUAUUGGGAGGAACACCCGUGGCGAAGGCGACUCUCUGGACCAAUACUGACGCUGAGACGCGAAAGCGUGGGGAGCAAACAGGAUUAGAUACCCUGGUAGUCCACGCCGUAAACGAUGAGAACUAGGUGUAGCGGGUAUUGACCCCUGCUGUGCCGAAGCUAACGCAUUAAGUUCUCCGCCUGGGGAGUACGGCCGCAAGGCUAAA
rnacentral:rRNA from 1 species